GACGAACGCUGGCGGCGUGCUUAACACAUGCAAGUCGAGCGGUAAGGCCUCUUCGGAGGUACACGAGCGGCGAACGGGUGAGUAACACGUGAGCAACCUACCCAUCACAUCGGGAUAACCCCCGGAAACGGGAGCUAAUACCGAAUACGACCACUUCAGACAUCUGACGGUGGCGGAAAGCUCCGGCGGUGGUGGAUGGGCUCGCGGCCUAUCAGCUUGUUGGUGGGGUAACGGCCUACCAAGGCUUCGACGGGUAGCCGGCCUGAGAGGGUGACCGGCCACACUGGGACUGAGACACGGCCCAGACUCCUACGGGAGGCAGCAGUGGGGAAUAUUGGACAAUGGGCGAAAGCCUGAUCCAGCAACGCCGCGUGAGGGAUGACGGCCUUCGGGUUGUAAACCUCUUUCAGCAGGGACGAAGCGAAAGUGACGGUACCUGCAGAAGAAGCACCGGCCAACUACGUGCCAGCAGCCGCAGUAACAC
rnacentral:rRNA from 1 species